GUGGUCCACGUCCAACUCCAAUCUGUGGUAAACGCAGCCGGCCAGGACCAAUCGCUUGUGAAGCGGAAGCCCUAGGAUGCUGAUCGGACGGGUGGGAUUGCGUAGCAACGUCAACGCACCAAGCAGCCGCGCUCGCAAAGCGGAAGCCAAGCCAAGAGGAUAUUUAUCUUUCCCCGUUCUCGCCGCCGGCGCCGAUGGAUGCAACACCCGCUGCUGCCGCCGGUGCCUCCACUUACCCCCAUCGUGCGCGGGUGCCGCGGGGUCCUCCUACUGAGGAAACAAUGGUGCCAGUGGCGCGGCCGGCGGCCCGCUCCGAUCGCUGCCCCCCGAAGGAGCUCCGGCCGAGCUGAAAGAGGACUCCAAGUUUGUGCUGUUGAACGCGGACGAUCCCGUGCACGGCCCACCGGUGACGGUGAGUGCUCGCAGCUGUUCUACAUCGUUGCAUGCAUGUCAUGCGAGUACAUGGAAACGCUGAAAAUUACAGCAUAUCAACUCCUAUAUAUGUGAAUUUCAGGCGCUAUUGCUCAUCCGAGAGGUGAAACUGUCACUGUAAUCAGUAAUGUCAAUUUGCAGAGUACUAGUAUUUUUCUCCA